CCUCCCACCCGUGUUUACUGUACCUUAGUUGCUUCGGCGGGCCCGCCAUUCAUGGCCGCCGGGGGCUCUCAGCCCCGGGCCCGCGCCCGCCGGAGACACCACGAACUCUGUCUGAUCUAGUGAAGUCUGAGUUGAUUGUAUCGCAAUCAGUUAAAACUUUCAACAAUGGAUCUCUUGGUUCCGGCAUCGAUGAAGAACGCAGCGAAAUGCGAUAACUAGUGUGAAUUGCAGAAUUCCGUGAAUCAUCGAGUCUUUGAACGCACAUUGCGCCCCCUGGUAUUCCGGGGGGCAUGCCUGUCCGAGCGUCAUUGCUGCCCAUCAAGCACGGCUUGUGUGUUGGGUCGUCGUCCCCUCUCCGGGGGGGACGGGCCCCAAAGGCAGCGGCGGCACCGCGUCCGAUCCUCGAGCGUAUGGGGCUUUGUCACCCGCUCUGUAGGCCCGGCCGGCGCUUGCCGAACGCAAAUCAAUCUUUUUCCAGGUUGACCUCGGAUCAGGUAGGGAUACCCGCUGAACUUAAGCAUAUCAAUAAGGCGGAGG
rnacentral:rRNA from 1 species